GGGGAUCCCAACUCCCUACCAAAACCGUAACCCUAAUUUCCGUCGAUGAGGAGGAGGAAAUGGAGGGCGAGGGGGGGAGGGAGAAGGACGCGUCGAUCUUGACUCUUUAGGGCUUUUAGAGAGGGUGAGGAUUGGAGGAAUGCGCCGUUGACGGCGGAGGAUGCGUCUAGGGUCAUGGAGGCGAUGAGGGGCGUGAGAUUUCGUGGAUCGGCGCCGGAUUGGGCGGAUCGGGAGACCGAGGAUCGGUGGGUGGAUGGGUUGAGGAGAUUGAGAGAUAUGGGCCCUGAUUAGAAAGAGAGGCUUGAAUGGAGAACUGGAAAUCCUUGCAGAAGUAUCUGCCGCAUAAGAGGAAAAAGGGUGACUAAGGGGCUCUUUGUAUUAUUUCCUUCGUUUUGCGUGUGUGCACGCGCGUGCAUGUGUGUGUAUCCUCUCCCUGUGGGGUUUAUUCAUUGGGACAAUUUGGGAGCAAAGCGUUGGAGGCGCUUAUGCCUCUUCUUCUUUAACCGUGCAUCAGAUCUUUGGGUUUCCUUCCGCACUGACAGUGUGCUAAAUACACUUGAUAUGAGCCCCUUUUUUCUCUAAAGAAAAAUGUUUUGAAAGGCUAAUGUCUUAACAGAAAAUAAUAUCAACUUGCCUCUUCUUUU